AGGAGGCACGCACCCAGAGAAUGCUGGAGCUGCAAGGGGAAAGGACCCACUUCCACAGCAGAGAAAAACAAAGAGGAAAAAGACAUACAGGCAGCGAGCGCUAAGGGACGCACCCAGCAAGCAGUGGGCCAGUGCCACUGCCCCCAGCAGCUGUUUCUGCUGCAACCCGAGAGGAACUCGGUGAGCCUGUCCCGUUUGUGACUGCAAGCUCAGGAUUUCAAUCAAUGCAUUCCAGUAACCCUAAAGUGAGGAGCUCUCCAUCAGGAAACACACAGAGUAGCCCUAAGUCAAAGCAGGAGGUGAUGGUCCGUCCCCCUACAGUGAUGUCCCCAUCUGGAAACCCCCAGCUGGAUUCCAAAUUCUCCAAUCAGGAAUGUAAUUCUGCUGACCACAUAAAGUCCCAGGAUUCCCAGCACACACCACACUCGAUGACCCCAUCAAAUGCUACAGCCCCCAGGUCUUCCACCCCCUCCCAUGGCCAAACUACUGCCACAGAGCCCACACCUGCUCAGAAGACUCCAGCCAAAGUGGUGUAUGUGUUUUCUACUGAGAUGGCCAAUAAAGCUGCAGAAGCUGUUUUGAAGGGCCAGGUUGAAACUAUUGUCUCUUUCCACAUCCAGAACAUUUCUAACAGCAAGACAGAGAGAAGCACAGCGCCUCUG
rnacentral:sRNA from 1 species